ensembl:lncRNA
GCUGGUAUCUCUGCCUUCCUAUCAGCGCGAUUCCAUUGGGUGAGCAGGGGCAGGCUAUGCUACGGUCAUGAAUUGUGGCCCAAUAGAAGGAUCAUCAAGAUGAGUGCAAUCUCAUUCAUGGCCCAUAAACCAGCAGAGGAGAAGCUCUUCAUUUUCUAAUUGAUGCCAGUUCUGAGAUCAAGCCAGAAAACCCAAUAUCAUGGAGCAACAUUGAAUGCAUGUGCACGCACAUGUGUGUAUGUGUAUGCAAAACCAGUCAGACACAGUAAUGGAAUUUUACUGGACAGGAAACAAACUUUCCUGGUCUUUUUGCUUUCUGAUUCAUCUGGGAAAUGCAAACCUAAGAGUGCUUCCAGCAAGAUGUGUUAAAUCACAAUACAGAGUUACUAUUAUAACUACAGUUGAUAAUCUGCUGUGCCUGCAAGAACUUUGCCAAGCUGGGAGCACAAAGCAGAACUCUUCACACCAAGACCUGAACUGUCCCCAGAGGACCACACAGAGCUAUGCCCUUGGCUCCUGGAGAACCACAGCAGCUCCAAGUCCUACUGACGACGGAGCAUCUAAUUCUGGUAGAUGGACAUCUCAGUGGCACCAGAUGACUGUGCACUAUUGCCUCGAGGUCAUUGAUAUGUGCAAACCAUGGCCCAGACUGACUUUCCUUUCCCCUGGGGAGGGAAGGGUUCCCUCUCCUCUCUCAAGAGCCAGCAGGACUAGUUAUGAAAAACAGUGCUCAGUAACAUAGCUCAAACUUGGCUGGUGGGUGUUGGGCUUUCAAAUUCCAGCCCCCAGUGGAUUACUUCCCUAAGCACAGGAGGGAAAGCCAUGGAUGGAUUAUUUCUUGGCAAACACUGACUUUAGCUAGAGAAACCAAAGGGGAAAAUAUUUAAGAAAUUAUUUUCUUUUCCCUCUGUGCCUGACCGCUUUCUUGCCUUCGUGAGAUUCAAUUUCUAUAGCUGAGCUCCAAUUUUCAGCUCUGUGCCUCCUCUCUGAACUAAAGAUUGAAUUUAGUGUGAUAGAAUUGCUGAAGAAAGAUUGACCUACCUAAUUCAGAUCUUGGUCUACGUUCAUGCUUCAUCCUGCUUGUGUGUUUGGAGGUAGCUUUGUAGCUGAAAUGCCUGGACAAUUUUGAUUGUCAGCGUGCAGUUCAAGAGGCUUCUUGCUCCUCACCAGUCUUUUUCCCACUUCCUAAACCCGACUGCAGUUAGGAUAUUUAUUGUGUAUGUUCUUCCAUUGGGCAACUGCUCCUAACUAAAAAGCCUUUUUUCUCAACAACAUCAUACCUUCCCAAACAAGGAAGGCUUGAGGUUGCUGCAGGUCCAGAGAGAUGGCUCUAGGCAGAGAUGGAAACACUAAUGGGGCCCUCCAUUUUAUCCCUAUUCCCUUGCUUCACCUGCUUUUAGUUUCUUGAAUGCCAGACUGAAUGAUGCACCCACCUUGUUCAUGUUCCAUCCCUCUCCAAACUGACGGGGGAAGCAGCAAGUGAAGCUAUGGCCCACUCUCUGCUUUUCUGUAACGUAGAGUUUUCAGUGACUGAUGCCGUGGCUGGCUAGGAUCAGCUUUACCUAUCAAGGCAUCCUUUGAAAAAGGGACUUCAUAAAUCAUUCAGCCAUCACCAUCCUGAUAGCGCUCCCACAUCCUGACCACAGGGCAGCAGCACAGCAGCUCAGGCUGCACAGAACGUCUUUAUUCAGGGGGUUGUUUUCAUUUCUUUGGGCUGCCAAUAUCCUGUAACAUUUCAGCAGCCAAAGAACUAUUUGUUCUUGGGCACUACUUUCUGAACAGGGAAUCAGUCAAGUACAUUUGCAUGGUUAAAUUUCAGUGACUUUUUGUUUGUUUGUUUAAGCUCUGAUCCCCUCCAGGUUUUGAAAAUUCACUUUUUCCCUGCGUUUAGUAGAGCCUGAUUUCUUCCAUCCCCCAAAAAUCCUAAUGAAGUUUAAAAUAAACCUCCCCUUUCAAUCCA